rnacentral:rRNA from 1 species
AUUGAACGCUGGCGGCAGGCCUAACACAUGCAAGUCGAGCGAGAGGCGGACGGGUGAGUAAUGUAUGGGGAUCUGCCUGAUGGAGGGGGAUAACUACUGGAAACGGAGGCUAAUACCGUCUACCAUCGGAUGAGCCCAGAUGGGUUUAGCUAGUAGGGGGGGUAAAGGCUCACAAAGGCGACGAUCCCUAGCUGGUCUGAGAGGAUGCCCAGCCACACUGGAACUGAGACACGGCCCAGACUCCUACGGGAGGCAGAAGUGGGGAAUAUUGGACAAUGGGCGCAAGCCUGAGCCAGCCAUGCCGCGUGUGUGAAGAAGGCUUUAGGAUUGUAAAGUACUUUAAGCAGUGAGGCGUUACCCACAGAAGAAGCACCGGCUAACUACGUGCCAGCAGCCGCGGUAAUUC